GAAUCCCGUCUUUGGCACGGAUGCACCAGGGCUUUUGUGAUGCGCUCUCGAAGAGUCGAGUUGUUUGGGAAUGCAGCUCAAAAUGGGUGGUGAACUCCAUCUAAAGCUAAAUAUUGGCGAGAGACCGAUAGCGAACAAGUACCGUGAGGGAAAGAUGAAAAGCACUUUGGAAAGAGAGUGAAACAGUACGUGAAAUUGUUGAAAGGGAAACGCUUGAAGUCAGUCGCGUCGACCGAGACUCAGCCUUGCCUCGGCUCGGUGUACUUCUCGGCCGACGGGUCAGCAUCAAUUUUGCCCCUCGGAUAAUGGCGAGAGAAAGGUGGCACCCUCACGGGUGUGUUAUAGUCUCCCGUCGGAUGCGAGGGUCGGGAUUGAGGAACUCGGCACGUACCGUGCUUAGGAUGUUGGCAUAAUGGCUUUAAACGACCCGUCUUGAAACACGGACCAAGGAGUCUAACAUGCCUGCGAGUGUUUGGGUGGAAAACCCGUGCGCGUAAUGAAAGUAAAAGUUGGGACCCCUGUCGUGGGGGGCACCGACGCCCGGACCAGACCUUCUGUGACGGAUCCGCGGUAGAGCAUGUAUGUUGGGACCCGAAAGAUGGUGAACUAUGCCUGAAUAGGGUGAAGCCAGAGGAAACUCUGGUGGAGGCUCGUAGCGAUUCUGACGUGCAAAUCGAUCGUCAAAUUUGGGUAUAGGGGCGAAAGACUAAUCGAACCAUCUAGUAGCUGGUUCCUGCC
rnacentral:rRNA from 1 species